UAUAAAGGUGGACUUAAUGCCAUAGGCAUU
rnacentral:sRNA from 1 species